rnacentral:rRNA from 1 species
GACGAACGCUGGCGGCGUGCUUAACACAUGCAAGUCGAACGGAAAGGCCUAGCUUGCUGGGUACUCGAGUGGCGAACGGGUGAGUAACACGUGGGUGAUCUGCCCCUGACUUUGGGAUAAGCCUGGGAAACUGGGUCUAAUACCGGAUAUUCAUUUUUCCUCGCAUGGGGAUUUGUGGAAAGCUUUUGCGGUUGGGGAUGGGCCCGCGGCCUAUCAGCUUGUUGGUGGGGGAAUGGCCUACCAAGGCGACGACGGGUAGCCGACCUGAGAGGGUGAUCGGCCACACUGGGACUGAGACACGGCCCAGACUCCUACGGGAGGCAGCAGUGGGGAAUAUUGCACAAUGGGCGCAAGCCUGAUGCAGCGACGCCGCGUGAGGGAUGACGGCCUUCGGGUUGUAAACCUCUUUCAGCUCCGACGAAGCGCAAGUGACGGUAGUGGCAGAAGAAGCACCGGCCAACUACGUG